GGAGUCACGCCAGAAAUCUUACCCGGAGAGACAGCAGAAUGAAGGUCAAGCUGAAGACUUUACCAGACAAGCUGAGAGGUGGUGCAUGGCCGUCGCCAGCUCGUGCCGUGAGAUGUCCUGUUAAGUCAGGUAACGAGCGAGAUCCCUGCCUCUAGUUGCCACCAUUACUCUCAGGAGUAGUGGGGCGAAUUAGCGGGACCGCCGCAGUUAAUGCGGAGGAAGGAAGGGGCCACGGCAGGUCAGUAUGCCCCGAAACUCUGGGGCCACACGCGGGCUGCAAUGGUAGCGACAAUUGGUUUCGAAUCCGAAAGGAUGAGGUAAUCCACAAACGCUACCACAGUUAUGACUGAGGGCUGCAACUCGCCCUCACGAAUAUGGAAUCCCUAGUAACUGCGUGUCAUUAUCGCGCGGUGAAUACGUCCCUGCUCCUUGCACACACCGCCCGUCGUUUCAUUGAAGUGAGCUUUUAGCGAGGUGACGUCUGAUUGGCGUUAUCGAACUUGAGGUUCGUGACAAGGGAAAAGUCGUAACAAGGUGACCGUAGGGGAACCUGCGGUCGGAUCA
rnacentral:rRNA from 1 species